AGAUUGAACGCUGGCGGCAUGCCUUACACAUGCAAGUCGAACGCGAAAGCGGGGCAACCCGCAAGUAGAGUGGCGAACGGGUGAGUAAUACAUCGGAACAUAUCCAGUAGGCGGGGGAUAACCUGUCGAAAGAUAGGCUAAUACCGCAUACGAUCUACGGAUAGAAAGGCGGGGGACCGCAAGGCCUCGCACUAGUUGGAGUGGCCGAUGGUCGGAUUAGCUUAGGUUGGGUAGGGUAAAACGCCUAACCGAAGGCAACGAUCCGUAGCGUGGUCUGGAGAGGACGAUCACGACCACACGUAGGAACUGGAACGACACGGUCCAGACCGUCCGUACGGGAGCAG
rnacentral:rRNA from 1 species